CACUUCGAAACUCUCAGCUACAAAUUCGAACGGUAAUCACCUCGAUACUGUUUCCAGUAACCUAUUUGAACCCACGGAGGGUGUGGAAAUUGAGGAAAAUCUUACACUGAUUAAUGACAUGGGUUCUGCUAGUAAGGUGAAUACAAAGGAUGCAAGACUGUUGCAGGGCCAGCCGUGAACUCUGAAGAAGCUGAAUACCUGGCCUUACUUGAAGCUGCAAAGUGGGUCAAAGCUAGAGGUUACAACAAAGUUUGCUUUAGAAGCGCCGCCAAAAAUCCUAUCUCAUUUCUCAAUAAAAGUAUGGACCAGAUUAGCUGGUUCAAUAACUCCAUUUUAGAAGAUUGUAUUAUUCUAAGUGAUUUAAGUUUCAUUAAAAUUGAGUUUGUUAGUAGAGAUUUUAAUGGUUGGGCUGAUAAAGCAGCCAAAUAUAGUAGAAGAUUUGAUGUUUCAGGUGAAUGGUUGGAUAGAAUUCCUCCAUUUGACCAAAAUAUGAUGUAAUAUUUCUACAUUUCAAUAUAUCUUUCUUUCCUAGCAA